UUAUGCGAUUGAGGAGCCAUGAAUCAUUUUAGGUUAUAGAGUAAGUGUAUCUGUUUUUGGGAUUUUGUCUAAGAUGUUUCAUGUGAUCAUCGUUUCAAAUGAUCUAUAGUUUUAUGUUUUCAAUUUCGACGACGAAAUUUCUUCUAAAGGUGGUAGUAUGUAACAGCCCAAAUUUUAGGCAACCUUGAUCGAAAGAAAUUAAUUAUAUAUUAGAAGUUUAAUUAUGUAUUUUGCAAAAAUGCUUUUUAAAAAAUUAAACUGAAGCUUCAUUUUUGCUCCCAAGUUUAAGUAUGAUUUCUGGAGACAGUUAGCAAAUUUACAAGUUUGCCCUUGAUGGUUCUUAUUAAAAAAAAAAGAAAUAUAACCCUCUCUCAUUCAUGUCAUAUUACCGUGUCAUCCUCUCCGUAAGACAAGCAUUCCAAACUCUUUGAGAUGUCAAAUUUUUGGUGAAAGAAUUUCAGUUUGAUUACUCCAAGUAGAUGAAUUGAAGAAACUCAAAAUCAAAACCAACCCCCAAAACUUUCCUCUUUUCUCUCACCUCUGUUCUGUUCGUCUGUUCCUAAUAACAUGCAAUCCAGAUUUGUUCUUUGUUUCUUCAUAAAAGUUGUAGAUCUUUUCGAGUUAUUAAAAUUUAGGCUAAAAAAAUUCUUAAUUCGGAGUUCGGAGCUAUGAGUUAUGGCCUUUGCAAGUUUAAUCUUGUUGAUGCCAUUUUCUUUUGAGGUUCUGUUAUUGUUAUUGCAGCUUCGUGGGUGCUGCUGUUGUUGUUGUGUUGAUGUUGGUGUUCCUUUCUACUUCUUCAUUUCCAUUUCUCUUUUAUGUUAGUGAAGGUGUAUGUCGGAGACUUGAUGUGGAGCGAAAGAGAGAGUUGGUAUGAAGUUGUAAUUAGAUUAAUGAUUCAGAUGUUGUAGCUAAAAGUAUUUAGGUAUUUAUUUGAUUAUAAAAUAUUCUUUGUUUGGGAAUCGAGUAAGGUAUUAUGUAA